rnacentral:rRNA from 1 species
UACGUAGGGGGCAAGCGUUGUCCGGAAUCACUGGGCGUAAAGGGCGCGUAGGCGGCCUGAUAAGUAGGGGGUGAAAUCCUGCGGCUUAACCACAGGGCUGCCUUCUAAACUGUCAGGCUAGAGCACGGUAGAGGCAGAUGGAAUUCCCGGUGUAGCGGUGGAAUGCGUAGAGAUCGGGAAGAACAUCAGUGGCGAAGGCGGUCUGCUGGGCCGUUGCUGACGCUGAGGCGCGACAGCGUGGGGAGCAAACAGG